CGUCUUCGUCGUUACGUCAUGACCCUGCGACGAAGUUCUCCACUCUGAGCAUGUGAGCUGUUGAUCUCGCUUUGCAACGUUCAGAUAUGGAGAAGUGGUGGAAGAGUAAACCAGAAGUGUAACGGAGUACAAUCCUGAGGAACAUUUCUGAGUCUAAGAAGAUUUUUGCAGUCACUAAUCUUGUAAUAAAUUGUCAAAAAAGGACAACAGACUAAAAGAGAGAUGGUGGAUAAGAUGGCAACAAAGGGUCAGAUGUAUUAUAGUGAGAAAGGACAACAGAAGAUGAGGGAGCACGGUCAGAGUGAGGAAGGUGGUGGAAAUAGAAAGCUCCUGGAUAAGAUGUCAGUGGGCUACUUCCGCCGUGUCACUGACCAACUAAGUGAAGAAUUCCCAGAUGAUGUAGAGCGAGGUCUGUUUGUAAAGAAUGUUCUGUCAGAGGUGAAGGGAAAAGCUGACCUUGUUGCGAUGGAUAGGAUAGGCAGUGUGGCUCUCCAGAAGCUGCUGGCGCUGGCUCAGCCCACUCAGGUGGGAGAGGUUCUCGCUGAACUGGGUGGAGAGACAGGUUCGGAGUUUAAGACUGUGUCAUGUGACCGGUGUGGUGGUCAUGUCAUAGAAAGCGCCCUCAAGCAGAUGGUCAGGUGGACAGAAGACACACCCUCAGAAGAGAGCUCACAAACUGAAGAAGAAACUGAUGCAGGGAACUGUGGGAUGCUGGAGGCUCAGGUGCUAUCUCUGUGUCGAGUAGUAAGGGAAAAUAUUGUGGAGUUCAUCAAAGACACUCAUGGAACUCAUGUCGUACGAACUCUCCUACAUGUCCUUGCAGGCUGUUCAACUCAGGAUCAGUCUGAUACUCGUCCAGCUAAAAAGCAGAAAAAAGCCGAACCUGAACUAACAGAUUUUGAAGUGCCAGUAUCUUUUUGGUGGGAGCUAAAAUACCUUUCAGACACACUUAUGGAAAAUGUCAAAGUGUGUGUCGCCAAUUUCACUGCCAGCGCUGCGCUUCAGACACUGCUGGUGGUCUGUCACAGGAAGAGACCCAUUCUGGGCAAGAAGCUAAACAAAGGCAUCAUGGCAUACCUGACAUCUUUCAGCUCAGCUCCUGGUGUCAGUCCGCUCUUAGUGUUUAUGAAGGACAAGGUGUGCAGUCGUCUUAUCCAGACAGUGUUUCAGUUCUCUAGUAAAGUCCAGCUCCGGGAUACCUACAAGAACCAUCUCAGGAAACAACUGAUGCCGCUGGCGCUUCAUGAGUUCGCAAACUUCACCAUCCAGACCUUGAUAGCAGUCUCAGUCAAAUACAAAAUGUUCCUGAAAGUGUUUGAUGAGCUGGCAGAGGGGUUUGAAGCUAUACUGGCUGCAGGGCACUUGGGUGUCAUAGUGCAGCUAGUGGAAAGCUGUGCGCAGAGAGAAGAGCGGCAGGCUAAGGUGCUGCAGCUUCUCUUCCAGGCUUUUCACUGCGAUGAGCCCGCUACACGGCAUCUCUCUUGCCUCCCCCUCUUCCUGUCCAUACUGGCGUAUGAGGUCUACUACAACUCUGAGUCAGCAGAGGGCGAUGUGGCACCUCAGCGCCCCCUCUCGAUCUGCUAUCAUGGCUCCCGCCUUGUCCAAGCACUGGCCUCUUUCAAAGACCGCUCCAUCCUGAUGAACAGCCUUCACAGCCUGAGUCCUGCUGAUCUGCUGACCCUGGGCACUGACCCUGCGGGCAGCCACGCCAUGCAAGCCUUGAUCAUAUCAUGCAGUGAUAAAGGCAAGGGAAAGAUGUUGAGGAAGCUAGAGGGGUUGUACACACAGUUAGCCUGCUCCCGAUAUGGCAGUCGUCUGUUGGAAGCCAUGUGGAACAGCGCCACCAUCAGUCAAAAACAGAGCAUUGCGGAGCAGCUGGUCCCCAGUGAAACGCAGUUGAGAUCGGAUCAGUUUGCUCGCCACGUAUGGGGCAAAUUUGGCCUAAUGCACUUUCAGAAGAGACGCGCUGCCUGGCUAGAGCUCCAGACAGGAGAGUCUAAGAAGAGGAAGAUGUUCAGUGACAUUCUGGAUUAACUGGUUUUGACCAAUACUUUUUGGGGUUCUUAAACAAAUGUUGUUUCACCUGAAAUCUGUUUAAUCUCAGGCCAGUCCAUUCCUUCCAUGGAUUAACUCAUUCUAAGUGUCAAACUUCAGGGCUUGCCUCAGAGACCGAGUGACAGUCAUCAAGCAUGAUUCUCCCACAGGGCCCUCAAUGUUGGGGAUUUCCUGGGGGGCUCUGAGCCUUGCCCCCUCCUCCUCAUUAGCGAUCCGUUGAUGGAUAGCAUGGUUAAUUGUGGGCCUGCAGACCAGUUCUAGACCUGCCCAUCUGCUCCAGCCCCGCAGCUGUGAACGCUUAUCAGUUAGGAGGUCCUUCAGUGGAGUUACUCCAGCUGGGCUCUCUCUCUCGUUCUCUCUCUCUCUCUCUCUCGUUCUCUCUCUCUCUCACUCUCACACACACACAUGCACGCACUCUCAGGGAGCAGCAGAACUAGUUGAUAGUGCAUUGUUAUGGUCACUAGUCUUGUCGCUUCUGCUGUUGUUGACAUUGUUCUCUCGAGAUAUUAUCUAUACAGCACU